CCACGCCGUAAACGAUGUCUACUUGGAGGCUGUGCCCUUGAGGCGUGGCUUCCGGAGCUAACGCGUUAAGUAGACCGCCUGGGGAGUACGGCCGCAAGGUUAAAACUCAAAUGAAUUGACGGGGGCCCGCACAAGCGGUGGAGCAUGUGGUUUAAUUCGAUGCAACGCGAAGAACCUUACCUGGUCUUGACAUCCACGGAAGACUGCAGAGAUGCGGUUGUGCCUUCGGGAACCGUGAGACAGGUGCUGCAUGGCUGU
rnacentral:rRNA from 1 species